UGCGCAGGCGGUUUUGUAAGCCAGAUGUGAAAUCCCCGGGCUUAACCUGGGAACUGCAUUUGGGACUGCAAGGCUUGAGUACGGCAGAGGGGGGUAGAAUUCCUGGUGUAGCAGUGAAAUGCGUAGAUAUCAGGAGGAAUACCGAUGGCGAAGGCAGCCCCCUGGGUCGAUACUGACGCUCAUGCACGAAAGCGUGGGGAGCAAACA
rnacentral:rRNA from 1 species